UUUAAUUAUUUUUUUGCGGAUCGUAUCGAAUAUCUGGUAAAACUACAAAAUUUUCCAGAUAUCCAGAAUACCAGAUAUCCAAAAGGUUACAUAUCGAAUUGAAUAAAAAAAUCGAUUAUACGUGUAGAACGGAGCGUAGAUAUCCUUAAAAUUUCUGAUAUCUGCUUCGUGCCUACACCUAAUCGGUAUCACUCGAUCAUGGACUCAUGGAGAUAAGAUCAGAUGAGAUAAUGACAGAGAAUACUAGUAGCAGAUCAACAUAAAUAAAACUUACACAAAUUGGAGUACACAAAGGAUACAGUGGGGAGGAACAUUCGCUUGCCGCAGAAUCGACCCGCAGUUAUAGCGAGAGCUCGACCCGGUAGAGUUAGGUGUACCUGGUGACCAGUUCUUAAUGAUCGGGUUGUCAAAAACAGCUUGCUAAGCACACCCAGACAGUGAACUUCAUGGACAGACAGCUACACUCGAGACCAAGACCACAAACCCCCACCAAGUCGAUCUUUAUUGGAGAAGGAACAACCAUGAGCCUAAACCAGAGAGACAGAGCCAACUACUCCACCAUUAAAAAAUAUAUAACUAUUAAAAAAAUAUUGAUUGUUUUAAACAUAACUUUUGCUUUUUAUAUCGUGUACUAAAUACAUUUUAGAAAAGUUGGACAACUA